rnacentral:rRNA from 1 species
GACUUGACAUCUCCUGAAUUACUCUUAAUCGAGGAAGUCCCUUCGGGGACAGGAAGACAGGUGGUGCAUGGUUGUCGUCAGCUCGUGUCGUGAGAUGUUGGGUUAAGUCCCGCAACGAGCGCAACCCUUAUUGUUAGUUGCUACUAUUAAGUUAAGCACUCUAACGAGACUGCCGCGGUUAACGUGGAGGAAGGUGGGGAUGACGUCAAAUCAUCAUGCCCCUUAUGUCUAGGGCUACACACGUGCUACAAUGGCUGGUACAACGAGCAGCAAACCCGCGAGGGGGAGCAAAACUUGAAAGCCAGUCCCAGUUCGGAUUGUAGGCUGAAACUCGCCUACAUGAAGUUGGAGUUGCUAGUAAUCGCGAAUCAGCAUGUCGCGGUGAAUACGUUCCCGGGUCUUGUACACACCGCCCGUCACACCAUGAGAGCCGGUAACACCCGAAGCCCGUGAGGUAACCGUAAGGAGCCAGCGGUCGAAGGUGGGAUUGGUGAUUGGGGUGAAGUCGUAACAAGGUAGCCGUAGGAGAACCUGCGGCUGUAUCACCUCCUUUCUAGGGA